GAUGAACGCUAGCUACAGGCUUAACACAUGCAAGUCGAGGGGAAACGACAUCGAAAGCUUGCUUUUGAUGGGCGUCGACCGGCGCACGGGUGAGUAACGCGUAUCCAACCUGCCCAUCACUUGGGAAUAACCUUGCGAAAGUAAGACUAAUACCCAAUGAUAUCCCACGAAGGCAUCGGAAUGGGAUUAAAGAUUUAUCGGUGAUGGAUGGGGAUGCGUCUGAUUAGCUUGUUGGCGGGGUAACGGCCCACCAAGGCAACGAUCAGUAGGGGUUCUGAGAGGAAGGUCCCCCACAUUGUAACUGAGACACGGUCCAAACUCCUACGGGAGGCAGCAGUGAGGAAUAUUGGUCAAUGGGCGAGAGCCUGAACCAGCCAAGUAGCGUGCAGGAAGACGGCCCUAUGGGUUGUAAACUGCUUUUAUAAGGGAAUAAAGUGGGUCACGUGUGACUUUUUGCAUGUACCUUAUGAAUAAGGACCGGCUAAUUCCGUG
rnacentral:rRNA from 1 species